CUAUGAGGCCUAAUUGCCCUCAAAGCACCAAAUCCCAUCUGAUCUUGGACGCUAAGCAGGGUCAGUCCUAGUUAGUAUUGAGUGGAGGAUCCUCAACCU
rnacentral:rRNA from 1 species